rfam:Schistosoma mansoni, Puerto Rico, WGS project CABG01000000 data, contig: 0037
AUCCAACUAACGAGUCCCAAAUUGGACGAGACGUGCGUCGUGGAU